AAAAGAAUUGAUGUAUGCAGAUCAGAGCAGAAACUGUACACAUAAAAGAGAAUGAAUGCGCUACAGUAUCUAAUCUAACCUUUGCUCGCCACCGACUUGCAGACAGGACAAGCAUUUUUCUGAAGAAGCCAUUGCUUGAUACAGUAUGUAUGGUAGCUAUGCCCACAAUAAAGCCUUCCCAUCUCAUCAUUCACUUCAUACUCUUCCUGGCAAAUGCAGCAUUUUCUUUCCAUUUCGGAGAAGCAAAAUGAAGGGCCAGUGAAAACCGGGUUCUUCGAUUUCCGAAGGCAGCACAAAAUCUCUUCUUCUCUUAAACCAGUACUGACAUACCCAAUUUUAUCGCCUAGCUCAAGCAGUUCCUCAUAUGACAUGCCAUCCACAUCAAGUCGCAAGUCCCUGUAUUGGUCAUAUGCAUCAAUUGCGCCCAGCAG
rnacentral:misc_RNA from 1 species